GUGGGGAAUAUUGGACAAUGGGCGAAAGCCUGAUCCAGCCAUGCCGCGUGUGUGAAGAAGGUCUUCGGAUUGUAAAGCACUUUAAGUUGGGAGGAAGGGCAGUAAGUUAAUACCUUGCUGUUUUGACGUUACCGACAGAAUAAGCACCGGCUAACUUCGUGCCAGCAGCCGCGGUAAUACGAAGGGUGCAAGCGUUAAUCGGAAUUACUGGGCGUAAAGCGCGCGUAGGUGGUUUUGUAAGUUGGAGGUGAAAUCCCCGGGCUCAACCUGGGAACUGCCUCCAAAACUGCAUGACUAGAGAACGGUAGAGGGUAGUGGAAUUUCCUGUGUAGCGGUGAAAUGCGUAGAUAUAGGAAGGAACACCAGUGGCGAAGGCGACUACCUGGACUGAUACUGACACUGAGGUGCGAAAGCGUGGGGAGCAAACAGGAUUAGAAACCCCGGUAGUCC
rnacentral:rRNA from 1 species